rnacentral:rRNA from 1 species
UACGGGGGGGGCAAGCGUUGUUCGGAAUUACUGGGCGUAAAGGGCUUGUAGGUGGCCAACUAAGUCAGACGUGAAAUCCCUCGGCUUAACCGGGGAACUGCGUCUGAUACUGGAUGGCUUGAGAUUGGGAGAGGGAUGCGGAAUUCCAGGUGUAGCGGUGAAAUGCGUAGAUAUCUGGAGGAACACCGGUGGCGAAGGCGGCAUCCUGGACCAACACUGACGCUGAUGAGCGAAAGCCAGGGGAGCAAACGGG